UACAGAGGGUGCAAGCGUUGUUCGGAAUCAUUGGGCGUAAAGGGCGUGUAGGCGGUCUGUUAAGUCAUGUGUGAAAUCCCUCGGCUCAACCGGGGAACGACGCAUGAAACUGACAAGCUAGAGUACCAAAGAGGGGGGUGGAAUUCCCGGUGUAGCGGUGAAAUGCGCAGAUAUCAGGAAGAACACCGAUGGCGAAGGCAGCUCUCUGGGACGGUACUGACGCUGAGACGCGAAAGCGUGGGGAGCGAACAGG
rnacentral:rRNA from 1 species